CUACGGGUCGCUGCAGCUAAGAAUCUUCCGCAAUGGACGAAAGUCUGACGGAGCGACGCCGCGUGAACGAUGAAGGCCAUGAGGUUGUAAAGUUCUUUUCCGAGGGGAGAAUAAGGAUGGCAGGGAAUGGCCGUCUGAUGACGUGAACUCGGGAAUAAGCCCCGGCUAACUACGUGCCAGCAGCCGCGGUAACACGUAGGGGGCGAGCGUUGUUCGGAAUCAUUGGGCGUAAAGGGUGCGCAGGCGGUUAUGCAAGUCUGGUGUGAAAGGUCUCGGCUCAACCGAGGAAACGCGCUGGAAACUGUGUAACUAGAGUACAGGAGGGGGAGUUGGAAUUCCAGGUGUAGGGGUGAAAUCUGUAGAUAUCUGGAAGAACACCGGUGGCGAAGGCGAACUUCUGGCCAUGUACUGACGCUGAGGCACGAAGGCGUGGGGAGCAAACAGGAUUAGAUACCCCCGUAGUC
rnacentral:rRNA from 1 species